rnacentral:tRNA from 1 species
GCCUGGGUGGCUCAGUCGGUUGGGCGUCUGACUUCGGCUCAGGUCAUGAUCUCACGGUCCGUGAGUUCGAGCCCCGCAUCGGGCU